UACGUAGGGUGCGAGCGUUAAUCGGAAUUACUGGGCGUAAAGCGUGCGUAGACGGUUAUUUAAGUCGGAUGUGAAAGCCCCGGGCUCAACCUGGGAAUUGCAUUCGAGACUGAAUAGCUAGGGUACGGUAGAGGGAAGUGGAAUUUCCGGUGUAGCGGUGAAAUGCGUAGAUAUCGGAAGGAACAUCAGUGGCGAAAGCGACUUCCUGGACCAGUACCGACGUUCAGGCACGAAAGCGUGGGGAGCAAACAGG
rnacentral:rRNA from 1 species